rnacentral:rRNA from 1 species
CUUGCCCCUUGGGUUUGUAGGACAUUCUACACGGGUUUACAAAGGAACGACGUAGACAAAGCGACCUGGCAAGGUCCUUCGUAGACGGUAACAAUCCCGUAGUCGAAACUUCGUUCUCUCUUGAAUGUAGCCUGAGUACUUCGGAACACGUGAAAUUCGGUCGGAAUCUGGGAUGACCAUCUGCCAAGGCUAAAUACAUCCGUAGUGAUCGAUAGUGAACGAGUAGCGGGUUGGAAAGGUGACAAGCACCCCG